AUACCUUAAACUUAUGAAUAAGGAAAAUAAUAAUUCCAGGUGAUGCCAGAGUCCUCACUGCUAAUGUGAGAAGUUUUGAGCUGGUAAAGGUUGUCCCUUAAGGUGACCGCCUACUUUACAGGAUGCCUGGGUGAAGCAUAUCAGCCUG